UUUUUAUUUUCGUUCUCCAUAAAAAUAAAAAUAAAAUCAAAUAAAAUCCAAUACCUUCCACCUCAAGCUUUCACGUUGGAUUCACCACUUAUCUUGUAUUAUGUGCUUUCUUGCUCGAGAAUGCACUAGGCAUCUGGCUGUAGGAGGUAGUAUGGAGAUUCGCUAAUAUUCAAGCAAUCUAUCGGUUUUUGACUGUUGAAAUAUAAACGAUUACAAAAAUAUAUCGUAAAUCUAUACGGAUGUCUUUCGACUACUCGCCGA
rnacentral:lncRNA from 1 species